rnacentral:rRNA from 1 species
UACGUAGGGGGCAGGCGUUGUCCGGAAUCAUUGGGCGUAAAGAGCGUGUAGGCGGCCCGGUAAGUCCGCCGUGAAAGUCCAGGGCUCAACCCUGGAAUGCCGGUGGAAACUGCCGGGCUGGAGUCCGGAAGAGGCGAGUGGAAUUCCUGGUGUAGCGGUGAAAUGCGCAGAUAUCAGGAGGAACACCAAUGGCGAAGGCAGCUCGCUGGGACGGUACUGACGCUGAGACGCGAAAGCGUGGGGAGCAAACAGG